GACCACACGAAGCUGGAAUCGCUAGUAAUCGCGAAUCAGAAAUGUCGCGGUGAAUACGUUCCCGGGUCUUGUACACACCGCCCGUCACACCAUGGGAGUCAGCAACGCCCGAAGUCAGUGACCUAACCGAAAGGGAGGAGCUGCCGAAGGCGGGGCCGGUAACUGGGGUGAAGUCGUAACAAGGUAAC
rnacentral:rRNA from 1 species